GGACCCGCACAAGCGGCGGAGCAUGCGGCUUAAUUCGAUGCAACCCGAAGAACCUUACCUGGGUUUGACAUCAUGGGUCUAGCUGUGGAAACACAGUGUGCUUACGCGCCCAUGACAGGUGGUGCAUGGCUGUCGUCAGCUCGUGUCGUGAGAUGUUGGUUAAGUCCCGCAACGAGCGCAACCCUUGUCCUAUGUUGCCAGCACGUAAUGGUGGGGACUCAUGGGAGACUGCCGGGGACAACUCGGAGGAAGGCGAGGACGAUGUCAAGUCAUCAUGCCCCUUAUAUCCAGGGCUGCACGCAUGCUACAAUGGGCAAUACAAUGGGCUGCGAUCCCGCGAGGGUCAGCCAA
rnacentral:rRNA from 1 species